GCCCCUGUGGCGCAAUCGGUAGCGCGUAAGACUUCUACGACAUGGUCAUCUUAAGGCUGUGGGUUCGAGCCCCACCAGGGGCU